UACGGAAGGCAGCAGUGGGGAAUAUUGCACAAUGGGCGAAAGCCUGAUGCAGCUAUGCCGCGUGUAUGAAGAAGGCCUUAGGGUUGUAAAGUACUUUCAUCGGGGAGGAAAAAACAAAACUAAUAAUUUUAUUUCUUGACGUUACCCGAAAAAGAAGCACCGGCUAACUCCGUGCCAGCAGCCGCGGUAAUACGGAGGGUGCUAGCGUUAAUCAGAAUUACUGGGCGUAAAGAGCACGUAGGUGGUUUUUUUAAAGUCAGAUGUGAAAUCCCUGGGCUUAACCUGGAACUGCAUUUUGAAACUGAAAUACUAGAGUAUCGUAGAGGGAGGUAGAAUUCUAGGUGUAGCGGUGAAAUGCGUAGAUAUCUGGAGGAAUACCUGUGGCGAAAGCGGCCUCCUAAACGAAUACUGACACUGAGGUGCGAAAGCGUGGGGAGCAAACAGGGAUUAAUACC
rnacentral:rRNA from 1 species